UUCAUAAUUUUUUUUUGUAAUAACAUGUCCAUGUAUUUAAACAAUUUUGGCAAACGAUGUUUCAGAAUUCUUUUCCAAGAGCUCCAACUAUUUUCCCAUAUAUGAGGCGUCCAAAUACAAUAUGGCGUGAAAUUGCUAUUUGGUGUACCAUUAUUUUAUUAGUCCAUAUAAUUUCCAUGCAUGAUUGUGCUUUUAUCCAACCAAGUUAAUACAUAUUUUUGUUAUAGCCGAGGCAAGUUAGUUAAUGUGAUAUUCCAUAUAUGUUUACUAAAACUGUAGUAUAUUGUUUACCCUUUUUUAUCAGAUUGAUUUCUUAAUACAGCAGUAUUGCCAUAAGAUGUAAUGUUGUCACACGUAUCUCAUCGAUUAUCCAUUUGGUAUUUGUUCUUCCAGCUUUUAAAAGACCAGCUGUAUUUCCCUUGCAUGGUGAUAUACACCAGAGAAGAGGAAAAGUGACCCACAAGUAUAAAUCCUUGGGAGCAGCUAAAAGAUGGUUCGGUCUAAACUUCAGAAAGUUUCAUUGUUGCUGAUGCAUGGAAAAGGUUUUCCCAUGGAUCAAUUUAGGGAGCAGCUGAAAGUUCUUAUUAUUCAGGAGUGCUAUCUUUCAAGAGUACAUCCUUCACAUGUUGGUAUGUCAAUAUACCUGUUUCAGAAAUAUCUGAUAUGAAAGACAGCCUCCAAGAUCACCCACAUGAGCUAGAUAGGCAGGGGAGAAAAUAAAGACCUGAGCCAAUAGAGACAACACUAUAUGCUCUAGCUAAAGAACCAAUAGAAACUAUUUUGUUACAAGCUGGAAAUUGUCGUGACAGAAGUAAAGAAUGUUCAAGACUGCGUGCUCAUGUCCUGUAAAGAUUGCUGAAAGAAGACAUCCUAACGGAAAUGUCUACAAAUUCCCGAAGUGGCCAUACAUAUUACAUAGAAGGAAAGCACAGGUACAAACUAUCCGCUAACUGAAAGGAUGUCAAGCCCAACGAGGUGACUAAAGAA